GGGGGGCCAUAUAUGGAGUAUCAGGGAUUACGUGUGGAACGCUUUGUCUGCAAAACAGAUAACCUGCCACUGAGCAAGAGAAAUGACUCGAGGAAAAUUCUUGAACAUCUUGGAGAAACCUAAAAAGUAACUGAAUAGAUGUAUGGAACCAACUACACAUGUCUACCAGAAAAUUUCUGACAUUUCUACAUUAUUUGAAAUAAGAAGACCAGCACUUUGCCUUAUUAGUUUCAGAAAUACUUCUGACUCUCGCAUCUUUUCUGAAAAGAAACAAAGACUACCGCCAGAUCCCCUUAGUAGGAAAAGCUGAGGUUCCUGCCAGAAGCUGCUCUUGUCCUUUUGUCAGAAAAUUUUAAUGUAACAGAAAUUUAGGCCAUAUUCUAAUUAAAAGCAAUAGCCUCAUUUAGCUGCAGUGACUAGCAGCAUACAGUAUAUUUAAAAUAAAAGCAGAGAUAGUUUCAGUAUUAGUUAUGUCUUUGUCCAAGAAUGAAAUGUUAUUUCCUUUUCUUAGCAACAGAUAUUUCAUAAUUGUAAUUAUCUUUCUGAAAGUCCCUACUGUUAAACAGGACACUGGCAUCGUCUAGAGAUGAAACAGAAUUUGUGUUCAUAUUUGCUUAUGAAAGGACUGCCUAACUAUUUUUAAGCACUCUGUAUAAAUUAUUAUUAUCCACAAACACAGCAAACAAGGUAUAUUGGUUACCAUUCUCUUUCCUUUUAUGGGUCACAUAGCUGAGGAGCCAUAUGCCAAUAAAUAUUUUUUUCUUUUUGGUUUUCUAGACUGAUAGGUUAUAAUGGGGGAUGCAGAUGUGUGCCUUGUUAAAUAAUAAGAAAAAACACCUGUGCCAUAAUAGUCAACUUCAGCAGUUUAUUUUUUUAUAAUUAUUAUUUUUAACAAUCAGCUUGACUUAGCUAGACACUCUUAUUUCUGGAAGAAGUACAUGUUUCAAUGAACAAAGCAACUUUUCAGUGACAGGCCUCCAUGAAAUAGAAAGAAAUUCUACCGUCUUGUUGACUUUGCAUUAUUGUAUCCUUUUACAGCUCUAGAAGACAAUUCUUCUGAACUCUCUCUGAACUUCUUUCUCUCAUGGAAAUAUAGUAGGAGAGAAACUGAUUCAGUCUUCGUUUUCAAAUAUUCUGUAAAAAUUGCUUAAUUACUAAAAACAUGAGCAGGGCUUAAGUCAAAAUGAGAUGCUAGUAACUCUUUGUGGAACAACCUAGCAACGGUUAGGCACUUUUAUGUCUAUUGAUCUCCAUGAGACAGUAGAGCACAUGAUUGGGAUAUGGCCUAUGUAUUUUAGUAAAAACAAGAUAUGUCUAUCACAGUACAUUCAGGGGGCCCUUCCUUUUUUAGCAUGUUGGUUCAGUAAAAUCUUUAAACUGUUGAAGUAAGUGAAGGUGUAUUUUCCUCCCAACGUGGUCACCUACUUGUAGGAUAGGGAUUCAAACAUUAAAAGGCCACAAUAAAGCUGAUGGAGAACCAAAAGUGCAGAAUGAGUUUGAGAGGAGGAAACUUUGGUAACAGGUUAGAGACAAUGAUAUUUAAUUUUUUUUUAUCUUGACAUAAGGUGUUAUAGGCUUUUAUAUGUACGUAGCUACCCAUAGCAAAUUAGUGUAGAUAUGCAUAUGAGCUUUUUUCUUUCCCAUUGAUUUCAGUGGGACAGAUUUUCAUAAGUUUCCAACUUGCACAUUGAAAACCAUCAGAUAUAAAAGUAUUGAACUUGGGCUGCAUCAUGCUCUGUAUGAAUGUUUGUAACUGUUGAAGGCUCCUCAAAACACAUUUGGAUCCUGUGAAACUGAAAAGUUCAAGAAGUGCGUUGGAGAAGUCCAUGCUGCCAGUCCAUUUAUGAAUAACAAACUUGAUUAGAUGUUAACUCCUCUAUAGUUGAAAGAAUUUCUAUUUAUUAUGGACAUUUAUCCAUUGUGGACAGAGCAGCAAAUUGUGUAUGAUUCUGAGUGGGGAUAUUUAUAUAUUUAUAUGUUUCUUCCAUAGAUAUUGUAGGAAUGUAUUUUUAUACAUAGCAUUAUUGCUUGCUCUGUUAUCCUAAAUGAGUAAUCUGUAUUAUGGCUUUGUGUUGUCAUAAAUAAAUGAAGUGCAUUUUCCAAGGCAAUCCUGUA